rnacentral:rRNA from 1 species
CCUACGGGUGGCUGCAGUGGGGAAUAUUGCACAAUGGGGGGUACCCUGAUGCAGCGACGUCGCGUGAGUGAAGAAGGAUUUCGGUAUGUAAAGCUCUAUCAGCAGGGAAGAAGAUGACGGUACCUAACUAAGAAGCCCCGGCUAACUACGUGCCAGCAGCCGCGGUAAUACGUAGGGGGCAAGCGUUAUCCGGAUUUACUGGGUGUAAAGGGAGCGUAGACGGCAGGGCAAGUCUGGAGUGAAAGCCCGGGGCCCAACCCCGGGACUGCUUUGGAUACUGCCAUGCUGGAGUGCUGGAGAGGUAAGCGGAAUUCGUGGUGUAGCGGUGAAAUGCUUAGAUAUCACGAAGAACCCCGAUUGCGAAGGCAGCUUACUAAACUGUGACUGACAUUGAUGCUCGAAAGUGUGGGUAUCAAACAGGAUUAGAUACCCUGGUAGUC